GAUGAAGAACGCAGCGAAAUGCGAUAAGUAAUGUGAAUUGCAGAAUUCAGUGAAUCAUCGAAUCUUUGAACGCACAUUGCGCCCGCCAGCAUUCUGGCGGGCAUGCCUGUUCGAGCGUCAUUUCAACCCUCGACCUCCCUUUGGGGAGGUCGGCGUUGGGGACCGGCAGCACACCGCCGGCCCUGAAAUCGAGUGGCGGCCCGUCCGCGGCGACCUCUGCGUAGUAAACCAACUCGCACCGGAACCCCGACGUGGCCACGUCGUAAAACACCCAACUUCUGAACGUUGACCUCGAAUCAGGUAGGACUACCCGCUGAACUUAAGCAUAUCAAUAAGCGGAGGA
rnacentral:misc_RNA from 1 species